rnacentral:lncRNA from 1 species
GAACAUUGCUAGUGUGACAUAGAGUAACUCUGCUUAGGAUUAUUUCGUUGGUCCAUACAUUGAUGAAUGGAUGAACACAUUGAUACGUCCACACAACUGAAAUACUACUGAGCAAUAAAAAGGAGUGAACAGUUGUCCUUCAGUGUCUGCAGGGGGGCUGUGGCACAGGCACUUGGCGGAACCUCUGCUUUGGACUGAGAUCAAUACAAGACAGCGUCUCAUCUCUGCAGGUACAGAGCUUACAUAGUAGGUGGACCUGUGACUUCAGUCAGGCUUGGAUGCAGAGUCUGAACCUGGUCUGGAAGAGGAGCUGCAGUCUUCUCCAGGGCUGUAGAAUGUCCAGUCUCUGUAGUGGGUUCUGGAGUGAUGGAAGUCCCAGGUCUGGAGGCUGAGUUGAUGUCUCCUCCAUGGUUGGAGAUGGUUUAACCCCUGUAGUAAGUUCUGUAGUUAUGGUAAGCUCCAGGUCCAGAGGUUGAACUGUGACUUGAGGGACGUUUGAAUGCUAAGCCUGACCCUUGUCUGAAGGUGCAAGUGUCACCUCAGAGUGUUUUGGAGGAGGAGUUGUAGUCAGGGCUGUAGAAGGUUCAGCCUCUGUCGUGGAUUCUGGAGUGAUGGUAAGUCCCAGGUCCAA